AACCAAAGUGUUGAGUUCAGGUCAGGGUGUUGCCCCUGUUCUGGUAAUUAAGCUUUGGGACAGCAAGUGUCUGAGAAGUGCACUGCGGUGGCUUGAAAGUUUGUUCUGUGCCACCUGUGUUUCUCAGCCUACAAAA
rnacentral:snoRNA from 1 species